ensembl:snoRNA
ACCCUUUUGUAGUUCAUAAGCAUGAUGAUUGGGUGUUCACGGGUCUGCGUGACAUGGGCCUCCCUCAAACCUUGUUACAAAUCAGCAUAUUACCCGUCUGACA